UAAAUACUCACUCCGUCCGGAAAUACUUGUCUUUGAAAUGGAUAAAAUGGAUGUAUCUAUACCUAAAAUAAGUCUAGAUACAACCAUUUCGAGGACAAAUAUUUCCGGACGGAGAGAUAUUUG
rfam:Triticum urartu cultivar G1812 contig118725, whole genome shotgun sequence.